UAGUCCAUGCCGUAAACGAUGAUUACUCGAUGUUAGGUAACUAGUGUCUAAGCGAAAGUUUUAAGUAAUCCACCUGGGGAGUACGAUCGCAAGAUUGAAACUCAAAGGAAUUGACGGGGGCCCGCACAAGCGGUGGAGCAUGUGGUUUAAUUCGAUGAUACGCGAGGAACCUUACCUAGGCUUAAAUGUUAUUUGACAGAUUGCGAAAGCAGUUUUUCCUUGUGACAAAUUUCAAGGUGCUGCAUGGCUGUCGUCAGCUCGUGCUGUGAGGUGUCGGGUUAAGUCCCAUAACGAGCGCAACCCCUAUUUUAGUUGCCAGCGAGUAAUGUCGGGGACUUUAAAGAAACUGCCCGUGUAAACGGUGAGGAAGGUGGGGACGACGUCAAAGUCAUCACGGCCCUUACGUCUAGGGCUACACACGUGCUACAAUGGCAAUUACAGAGUGUUGCUUCUUGGUAACAAGUCGCUAAUCACUAAAAAUUGUCUCAGUUCGGAUUGAAGUCUGCAACUCGACUUCA
rnacentral:rRNA from 1 species